ensembl:snRNA U6 U6 spliceosomal RNA
GUGCUCGCUUCAGCAGCACAUAUACCAAAAUCGGACCAAUACAGAGAGGACUAGCAUGGCCCCUGCACAAGGAUGACAUGAAAAUUCAUGAAGUGUUCCAUAUUUUU